AUGUUUUUGUAGUUGAUUUACAACAGUGGUUUUUCAGACCGCAGGUCUCGGUAGAGCAAGAAUU
rnacentral:tRNA from 1 species